GACUUAGAGGCAACAUCCCCCCUGCGAGACUAUCCUAUGAUUUUAUUUUAAUUUUUGGUUUAUUUACUUUUAUCUUUUACCUUCACGAGACCUUGAUCCCACAAUGGCCAGUUUAGUCAAAAAAGACUCUUACCUGCAGAAAUUGGCCAAGAAAAUUUGCACCCAGGAAGCCCCCAAGCCACGAAAAAGGAAAUUUGGAACUGGACUGGGAGAUGAUAGCACCCAGCC